rnacentral:pre_miRNA from 7 species
GUUAUUGUUAGAUUAAUUUUGUGGGACAUUAACAACACCAUAGGCAGCAACAUCAACCUUAGCUAAUGAAUCCGGGCUAGUUAAAUGAUCUAUUU